rnacentral:rRNA from 1 species
GUUGUACCUGAAGUACGUCGACGACCAACCGCAAGGAGGCAGACGCCCACGGUAUGACCGAGUGAGUUGGGUGG